ACGGGGUGCAGCAGGCGCGAAACCUCCACAAUGCACUCAAGUGCGAUGGGGUUACCUCGAGUGCAUCCUGAAGAAGGAUGCUUUUCCACUGUAUAACUAGUUGUGGGAAUAAAGGGGGGGCAAGACUGGUGUCAGCCGCCGCGGUAACACCAGCCCCCUGAGUGGUGGGGACGUUUAUUUGGCCUAAAGCGUCCGUAGCUGGCUGUAUCCGUUACCCGUCAAAUCCAGCGUCUCAAGCGUUGGGCUGCGGGUGAUACCAUAUAGCUAGAGGGUGGGACAGGUGAGCGGUAUUUCUGGGGUAGGGGCGAAAUCCUUUGAUCCCAGGAGGACCACCAGUGGCGAAGGCUGCUCACUAGAACACGCCUGACGGUCAGGGACGAAAGCUGGGGUAGCGAACCGGAUUAGAUACCCGGGUAGUCCCAGCUGUAAACGAUGCUCGCUAGGUGUUGGGUCGGCCAUGCGCCGCCCCAGUGCCGCAGGGAAGCCGUUAAGCGAGCCGCCUGGGGAGUACGGCCGCAAGGCUGAAACUUAAAGGAAUUGGCGGGGGAGCAC
rnacentral:rRNA from 1 species